AGCGAACGCUGGCGGCAGGCCUAACACAUGCAAGUCGAACGAACCUUUCGGGGUUAGUGGCGGACGGGUGAGUAACACGUGGGAACGUGCCUGUAGGUUCGGAAUAACUCAGGGAAACUUGUGCUAAUACCGAAUGUGCCCUUCGGGGGAAAGAUUUAUCGCCUUUAGAGCGGCCCGCGUCUGAUUAGCUAGUUGGUUGAGGUAAUGGCUCACCAAGGCGACGAUCAGUAGCUGGUCUGAGAGGAUGAUCAGCCACAUUGGGUCUGAGACACGGCCCAAACUCCGACGGGAGGCAGCAGUGUGGAAUCUUGCGCAAUGGGCGAAAGCCUGACGCAGCCAUGCCGCGUGAAUGAUGAAGGUCUUAGGAUUGUAAAAUUCUUUCACCGGGGACGAUAAUGACGGUACCCGGAGAAGAAGCCCCGGCUAACUUCGUG
rnacentral:rRNA from 1 species